rnacentral:rRNA from 1 species
CCCUUANAGUUUGAUCAUGGCUCAGGACGAACGCUGGCGGCGUGCCUAACACAUGNAAGUUGAGCGGAGAUAUAUGGAGCUUGCUUUAUAUAACUUAGCAGCGAACGGGUGAGUAACACGUAGAUAAUCUAUCCUAUACUGGGGGAUAGCCCGAUGAAAGUUGGAUUAAUACCGCAUAUAGCUAUAUAGUUGCAUGAUUAUGUAGUGAAAGAUUUAUUGGUAUAGGAGGAGUCUGCGGCACAUUAGCUAGUAGGUGAGGUAAAGGCUUACCUAGGCGACGAUGUGUAGCCGGUCUGAGAGGAUGAACGGCCACAAUGGAACUGAGACACGGUCCAUACUCCUACGGGAGGCAGCAGUGGGGAAUUUUGCACAAUGGGGGAAACCCUGAUGCAGCAACGCCGCGUGAGUGAAGAAGGUUUUCGGAUUGUAAAGCUCUGUUAGCAGGGAAGAGGAAGGACGGUNCCNUNCAAGAGGAANNCCNCGGCUAAUNUACCGUGCNANCAGCCGCGGUUAAUACGUAGGGUGNCAAGNCNUUGUUCGNAAUAACUUGGGCGCAAANGNAUGNGUAGGCGGUUAAANCAAGUUUAUNUGUUUAAAUAUAUAGGCUUAACCNUGUAGAAAGCAUAUAAAACUGUUUAACUAGAGUGCAGGAGAGGGUAAGUGGAAUUCCUAGUGUAGCGGUGAAAUGCGUAGAGAUUAGGAAGAACACCCAGUGGCGAAGGCGACUUACUGGACUGUAACUGACGCUGAGGCAUGAGAGCAUGGGGAGCAAACAGGAUUAGAUACCCUGGUAGUCCAUGCUGUAAACGAUGGGUACUAGGUGUGGGUUGUGAAUAACAAUUUCGUGCCGUCGCAAACGCAAUAAGUACCCCGCCUGAGGAGUACGAUCGCAAGAUUAAAACUCAAAGGAAUUGACGGGGACCCGCACAAGCAGCGGAGCAUGUGGUUUAAUUCGAAGCAACGCGAAGAACCUUACCUAAACUUGACAUACCUUGAAUUACCUUGUAAUGAGGGAAGCUCGCAAGAGCAAGGAUACAGGUGGUGCAUGGUUGUCGUCAGCUCGUGUCGUGAGAUGUUGGGUUAAGUCCCGCAACGAGCGCAACCCUUGUUGUUAAUUGCUAACAGGUUAAGCUGAGCACUUUAGCGAGACAGCCUAGGUUAACUAGGAGGAAGGUGGGGAUGACGUCAAAUCAUCAUGCCCCUUACGUUUAGGGCUACACACGUGCUACAAUGGUGAGAACAGAGAGAAGCAAGCUAGUGAUAGUGAGCAAAACUUAUAAAACUCAUCUCAGUUCGGAUUGCAGGCUGAAACUCGCCUGUAUGAAGAUGGAGUUGCUAGUAAUCGCGAAUCAGAAUGUCGCGGUGAAUACGUUCCCGGGUCUUGUACACACCGCCCGUCACACCAUGAGAGUUGGCAACACCCGAAACCUGUGGGCUAACCAUAUAGGAGGCNNCAAUCNAAGGUGGGGUCAGUGAUUGGGGUGAAGUCGUAANCAAGGUAA